CGUACAUUGGAAUCAUCUGAAGAUAAUAUUUAACUCACCAGAAGGGUAAAUACAUCCAAACAUACAUACAUAUCUAUGUAGUCCGACAAGGUUGCCAUAAACAUCUACAACCAACAAUACUAAACUGAAUAUGUACACAUGGCCGACAAGGUCACAAUACUGACAUACAAAAUAUACAGGACUCAUCUAUAAGCCUCUGGAUAUAAGAAUAUUGUAUCAUGGUUGAAAUAGGGCCCUAACCUUCCCAUCAAGUCUAUAUAUACAAUGGACUCCAAAAUCUAGACCUGGCAACUCCGGGGAAGUGGAGCUUACCAACCAAGCUGAUAUCUAGCUAUGUCUAUUAGGAAGGUGUAUUCGGCUAUUUAUCAGAACCUGCAGGCAUGAAAUGCAACGCCACUGGCAAAAAGGGGUGUUAUUACGAAAUAAUAUAUUAAGUAUGUAAGGUAAUAAAAUAACUAAAAACUGAAAUUGAAUUGAAGUACAUAGUAAACUAGAAGGCAAAGAAUGAUAUAUAUACUCAUAUGUCCCGACUCAACACGAUGCAAUAUAGUAAUAUCAUAGCUAGCCGACCACAUAUAAGGCCUGAUGUAUCAGUCACUGACCAAGUAGUCAGGCAACAAUAAACUCUCACUAACCGUAAGGUCAGGCAAAUAUAAACUAUGAGUGAUCAUAAUGCCAGACAAUACUAUCUCUCACUGGACAAGUGGCUAGACAAUAAUAUCUAUCAUAUACAUAAGGCCAGGCAAUAGCAAUAUCUCAUUGACCAAGUGGCCAGGCUACAGAAAAAUAUAUACAUGUUGCUAUAUAUCAUGUAUAUAGAAGAACUUAGAGAUACAUAUGUAAUUCUCUAUCUUUGUCCUACAUCAUGGAGUAACAUAAAGUGAAUGGGAACCCCUUUCAAUAAGAUAGUAUGGAAGUAUACGGAAAGAUGCAACACUUAUUGAGACACGACUCUACAAUAUGCGUUUCUCAUAUAAGAUUCAUUCAACUCAUACUUACUAUGAAUUACGGAUUCAUGACAAUGAAAGGAAAGGGAUAACCAUUCCAUACCUUAUCACAAUCUGUUCAAUAACUAUGUUGAACUCGUUUCGUCGCACCUUAAUAUACAACAACGAUAAUAAUGCUGUUGUUAAGCUACAAAAUGUACAACUAUCGUACAACGAACGAUAAACCUAUUUUAUAUUAAAACGGGAAGCAUCUUCCCUGUUUUGGUUACAUUUCUCACUCCCUAUAUUGCAGCAACAACCCAAACAAUAACCAAUAGAUAUAUAAAAUGUCACACCUUCUUUUCCACUAUACACCCGCAAGGGCAUAAAGGAGUUUUUCCAAUUAAAGGACAAUCGGAACGGGAUUUGGUUAUUAAUUAUUCAGAGUCACCACUUGGGAGAUUUAUGGUGUCCCAAGUCACCAGUUUGAAUCCCCAACCGAGGAAAAAUAUGACUCUGUAACAGCCUGCGAACCAGAAAUCCGAGUAAGGAAUUCUGUUAACCCGGGAGAAGGUGUUAGGCAUUCCCGAUCAGAACGGGAUUUGGUUAUUAAUUAUUUCAGAGUCACCACUUGGGAGAUUAAUGGUGUCCGAAGUCACCAGAUUUAAUCCCGAAUCGAGGAAAAGUAUGACUCAGUAUUACAGUCUGUGAUCCAGAAAUCCGGAUAACGAAUUCUGCUAACUCGGGAGAAGGUGUUAGGCAUUCCCGGGUUCCGUAGUUCUAGCACGGUCGCUUAACUGUUGCAUUUGAUUUUAUCUGAUUUUAGUACAUGCUAACUUAUGUGUCUUUUAUUUAUAUACCGCUUUUACCAUUAUUUAUUUUAAAAGACUUGCAACGUCGUGAAAAUGCUCUCUGAACACGUCGCCAUCAAGGCACCCAUGGUCGUCAACACAUUUCGACUUCGUCGAGAUUUGGAUUUGGGUCGCAUCAAUGCGCACUCGAGUUUAAGAAAGUAAUUUAAUUAAUCGUGCUUAAGGGUUCUAGCGUAAUAUUAUUUUGGGAAAGGCCGUUGAAAUUUGCUUAACGGCCCUUCCAAAUUCUAAUCAUCUUUAAUAACCAAAAAGUAAUUUAAUUAAAUCGCGCUUAAAGGUUCUAGCGUAAUAUUGUUUUGGGAAAGGCCGUUGAAAUUAGCUAAACGGUCCUUCCAAAUUCUAAUCAUUUUUUAUAACCAAUUAAUGAGGGCCCCACAUUUAUUUUUGUUCGGUGAGGCUCGUCUGUGAAUAAAUUUUCGAUCAUUAUUUGUUUUAUAAGAAUUACGACGUCAUGAAAACGCGUUUCUAACCCCGUCGCCAUCAAGGCACCCGUGGUUAUCAACACAUUUCGACUUCGUUGAGAUUUGGAUUUGGGUUGCAUCAAUGCACACCCGAGUUUAAGAAAGUGCUUUAAUUAAAACGCGUCUAAAGAUUCUUGCGUAUUUUUACUUUGGGGAAGACCGUGAAAUUCGCUAAACGGCCCUCCCGAAUUCUAAGGAUGAAUACAAGCUCAAUUAAAAUGAGGGCCAUGCAAUUGUCGUUUUUUGUUUGGCAUGGCACACCUCGAUUCUAAUUUUAAAAGAGAUCCAAACUAAGCUUCGGAGGUCCAUAAACUAUUUGUAUGAUCUAAUAUGGCACACAUCCAAUCUACUUUUAAAAGACUUCAAAAAUUAGCUUCGAAGGCCACAGCCGUCGAUCAUUGAACUCCAACAAAUAAGAUCAGCCUUAGGACAAUCACUGAAAAUAGCCUUUUCUUGGCCUAUGCGUCCAAAUUUACAGUCCAUGCCCAUAUGUGAGGAAAUCAAAAAGGGAUUGGAUAUAUUUCCAAUUUUAAUCGCUUGUGAUCUCAUUUGACAAUUGCAUCUGCCGUCAUACAACAGAAGCAUUACUAAACAAUUCACUUUAGGCAUAUGCUGCAAUCAGCGCACUCCAGGCAGAUUGGAAGAAACAAAAACUCAUAAUAUGUUCAUACUAUGUCCAGGAUACAUUUAAACUUGUAGUGCUUUUUCAUGGAAUUGUGGCCAGCAGAUAAAAUCAUUCACAUAUUGAACAAUCAUGCAUACAUUUAAUUUGCACAAUUGAACUGAUGGGACAUUUAGUGCUUCAACUACCAAAUUAGAAAACUACUUUAAUUUCCAUUGCUAUUAACGUUUCAGCCUUAUUCUAACCUUGUUCAGAUUCAUAAACGUAUGAACACAUGGAGACAAAAAACAAACCACAUAACAGUUAACGAAUUGAGAGAAGCAGAAGCUGCAACAAAGAGUAAUUUUCCUUUUGUGUUCAGAGCUCCAGACAAAAUCGGAAACAGAUUACCGUGAAUAAAUCAAGGGAUCAACCAUUUUAAUCAUUAAAAUGAAAACAGAAUACAAGGGGUUUCAAACAUACCUAAUCAAACAGCAACAAAACGACUGAAAUAGGCCAAAUGAAGAGCCGAAAAACAGUUGCGAUUGUGAGAGCUCGGUCAAUUCUUUAGCAACAGCAGAAACAACGUGAUUUCCAACCUCAGCUUGAACACCCAGAGAUAUCGAAUUCAAUUUCUGAACUGUUUUUUUAGUACAAAAUCAAUUCCAGAUUCUAUUGUUUUCCUUCUUCUUUAAGUUUUUUUUUUCAGAUUUGGAUCUCCAUUUUUCUUUUAAUUUCUUGUGUAGAAGACCAGCACGUAAAAGGACUCGAAGCAAAGGUGGAUUAGAAUGCAGAGAUAAGAAAUGGCUCUCUCUAUUGCGUGUGUAUGAGAUGAAGCAGAAUAAUGGUUUUAAGAGAAAGGGAUCCGUUCUUCCGUCUAUUUUUCGUCCGUUUUCUUUUUUUUUAGAGUUUUUCGUCUCUUUUUUUUUUUUUUGUGUGUAUUUUAUCGUGUAUCUUUUUUGGUAGUUUUUCGUCAAUUCCUUUUGUGCUGUGUUGAAAUGAUUAUAUAAAGUGUAUGAAUAGGAUGUUAUGUAGGGGAGCUUUAUUCAGGGAGAAUGUGUUAUGUGAGAUAAUAUUUUGGUGGAACGUUAGGUGGGGAGAAAAAAUUUAGGAGGAAAAUAUUUUGAGAAGGUUCUUCCUUUUUUACUCCCAAUUGCUUUUUAUUUUCCUCUUCUUUUUUUGUAUUUUUUUUAUUAAUUUUGUAUGUUAUUUUCUGAUUUUAUUAAAUGUUAAAUUAAAAACCAAAACCAAAUUAACACUAAAAAUUAAAUUUUCUAUUAAAAUGCAAACUAAUACUAAUUCAAACUAAAAACGCAAAAGGUACUACUUUUGUUAUUUUCUUUCUAUUGUGUUCUAAAAUAAAUUAACCCUUAAUUAAUCCUAAAAUAUGAAAUUAGAUCCUAAAUGCAAAUGCGUAUUUUUGUAUUUUAUUAUUGCGAUUUUAAGAUAUUAAAAUGUAUGAAAUGAGACUACAAAAGAAAAAAUUUCUAAAAGAGCUAUUUUAUUUUAUUUUAUUAUUGUAAUUUUAAAAUAUUAAAAUGUAUAAAAUGAGACUACAAAAGAAAAAAACAUUCCUAAAAAAAUGAAUAAAAAUUAUUUUGACUUAUUCUUAGAAGUUAUCUUCAUGUAGUGCAAAACUCACAUGCUUGCACAGAAUAUAACAAGAACAAUAGUACACCGAGCGUCAAGCUCAGUUCAUAUCCAAUAAAACUAUAUUGUCAAACCGUUUCCCCCCUUAUUUUUCUAGAAAAAUAUUGAUAAUAACAACACUGUUAUAAAAUGAAAGCAAUUUAGUAAAACAUGAACAAGAAAUAUAAGCAACUUAGUGAAANNNNNNNNNNNNNNNNNNNNNNNNNNNNNNNNNNNNNNNNNNNNNNNNNNNNNNNNNNNNNNNNNNNNNNNNNNNNNNNNNNNNNNNNNNNNNNNNNNNNNNNNNNNNNNNNNNNNNNNNNNNNNNNNNNNNNNNNNNNNNNNNNNNNNNNNNNNNNNNNNNNNNNNNNNNNNNNNNNNNAUGUAUUUUCCUAAAAUAUGCACAAGAAAUAGAGAUAGAGAGAAGGAAGAGAUUUUGUUCUUCAAUUGUGUGUAUUUUCCUAUUUAUAACAAGGCAUUUAUAUAGGCAUAAAAAGAGAAGAAAAUAUGUCAUGGAAUAUGUCAUUGAAUAUGUCAUUAAGCAUUUGAGAUGAAGAUCAUGAAAGAUGAGUAGACAUCCAACAUAAUAUGAUAUUUAUCAUAAUAAACACAAUAUACUCAGGUUAUUCCAUUAACUUUUCAGGCAUAAAAUGUUGCAAGAACACUGCUCAAGUAGUCCAACAAUCGAUAACAACAUAUCUACAAUUUUCAAAUUACUAGAAACAUAUUUUCAAUUUCUCUUUUCUUUCAAAUCAAAUCAAGUAACACAACCAAGCUACAAUUCAUAGAAGCUUAGACAAAGGAAGGAGAAGCAUAAACUCACCUCACACCACUUAGAAUCAGCCGAAACUUAGGAUUACCCCACCUUGAAUUAACCUUCAAUGCAGCCACAAGAAAGAGGAAAAGAACUAGCAACCACCUUGGGUUUCUUCAUCACUAGAAUCGCCUUUGAAUUCCUUGGAAUCACGUAGGGUUUGUGUGAAGUUUGUAGGGAUUUAUUCUAUGAUUAUAUGCUCUAAAAAUGAGUAGAAUAAUGAAUAAAAUCAGCCCUUAAUGCGCGGCUCAACUAGCC
rnacentral:lncRNA from 1 species